rnacentral:misc_RNA from 1 species
ACAAAACAUGGGAAAAUGACUAUCCAGGCUAAGCAAUCAACUGAGAAUUUGAUGUACAUCUCUAAGAACUCAGGUGGAUAAAUCAACAAUGAAACCUCGACUUCUCUUUGCAAGGAACCGGCUUGACCGUUGGGAUAGCUAAUUACCUUGUGGCGCACUGUACAGAGGGUGCAUUUUCUUCAAAACCAACUAUUUUAAAUAAUUAUUUUGUAGUAUAUAUAAUGUAUGCCUUAGUAAUAUAUCUCUUAAAUUUCUACACAAAAAAUAGAAAAAUCAAAUCCAGGUCGAUUUUGAAGCCUCUUUUUUUCUUUGGAACAAUAUCGAAUGAAACAUUUAUGGAGGCAAGGUCUGUACCAUUUUUAUCCAUACAUCAUAGCAUAAAAGAAAAAUCAAUUAAAACCAUUGAAGAGUUGGUAAUGAUGAUAUUUGAGGAAAAAAA